GGCCAAGUUUUUAAGGGCGCACGGUGGAUGCCUUGGCACCAGGAACCGAUGAAGGACGUGGGAGGCCACGAUAGGCCCCGGGGAGUCGUCAACCAGGCUUUGAUCCGGGGGUGUCCGAAUGGGGAAACCCGGCAGUCGUCAUGGGCUGUCACCCGCUGCUGAACUCAUAGGCAGUGUGGAGGGAACGCGGGGAAGUGAAACAUCUCAGUACCCGCAGGAAGAGAAAACAACCGUGAUUCCGGGAGUAGUGGCGAGCGAAACCGGAUGAGGCCAAACCGUAUACGUGUGAGACCCGGCAGGGGUUGCGUGUGCGGGGUUGUGGGAUCUCUCUUCUGUUGUCUGCCGGCAACAGGACGAGUCAGAAACCGUUGAUGUAGGCGAAGGACAUGCGAAAGGUCCGGCGUAGAGGGUAAGACCCCCGUAGUCGAAACAUUAGCGGCUCGUUUGAGAGACACCCAAGUAGCACGGGGCCCGAGAAAUCCCGUGUGAAUCUGGCGGGACCACCCGCUAAGCCUAAAUAUUCCCUGGUGACCGAUAGCGGAUAGUACCGUGAGGGAAUGGUGAAAAGUACCGCGGGAGCGGAGUGAAAUAGUACCUGAAACCGUGUGCCUACAAGCCGUGGGAGCGUCGCGCAAGGACUUGUCCUUGCGUCGUGACUGCGUGCCUUUUGAAGAAUGAGCCUGCGAGUUUGCGGUGUGUUGCGAGGUUAACCCGAGUGGGGAAGCCGUAGCGAAAGCGAGUCCGAACAGGGCGCUGUAGUAGCACGCUCAAGACCCGAAGCGGAGUGAUCUAGCCAUGGGCAGGUUGAAGCGGAGGUAAGACUUCGUGGAGGACCGAACCCACCAGGGUUGAAAACCUGGGGGAUGACCUGUGGUUAGGGGUGAAAGGCCAAUCAAACUCCGUGAUAGCUGGUUCUCCCCGAAAUGCAUUUAGGUGCAGCGUCGUGUGUUUCUUGCCGGAGGUAGAGCACUGGAUAGGCGAUGGGCCCUACCGGGUUACUGACCUUAGCCAAACUCCGAAUGCCGGUAAGUGAGAGCGCGGCAGUGAGACUGUGGGGGAUAAGCUCCAUGGUCGAGAGGGAAACAGCCCAGAGCAUCGACUAAGGCCCCUAAGCGUACGCUAAGUGGGAAAGGAUGUGGAGUCGCACAGACAACCAGGAGGUUGGCUUAGAAGCAGCCACCCUUGAAAGAGUGCGUAAUAGCUCACUGGUCUAGUGAUUCCGCGCCGACAAUGUAGCGGGGCUCAAGCGUACCGCCGAAGUCGUG
rnacentral:rRNA from 1 species